rnacentral:rRNA from 1 species
GGUCACUGCUAUUGGGGUUCGGCUAAGCCAUGCGAGCGGAGGGCGCGGUCGCAAGAUCGUGGCCCCGCACACGGCUCAGUAACACGUAGUCAACCUACCCUUGGGACGGGGACAACGCCGGGAAACUGGCGAUAAUCCCCGAUAGGUGAGGGAUGCUGGGAUGCUUCUUCGCUCAAAGCUCCGGCGCCCGAGGAUGGGACUGCGGCCUAUCAGGCUGUUGGUGGUGUGACGGACCACCAACCUACGACGGGUACGGGCGAUGGGAGUCGGAGCCUGGAGAUGGGGACUGAGACAAGGCCCCAGGCCCUACGGGGCGCAGCAGGCGCGAAAACUCCGCAAUGCGCGCAAGCGUGACGGGGGAACCCCAAGUGCCGUUGGCUUUUGAUCGACGGCUUUUCGGAAGUCCAAUAAGCUUCCGGAAUAAGGGCUGGGUAAGACUGGUGCCAGCCGCCGCGGUAACACCAGCAGCCCAAGUGGUGGCCGCGAUAUUGGGCCUAAAGCGCUCGUAGCCGGAUCAGCAAGUCCUUUGUGAAAUCGGACCGCCCAACGGUUCGGCGUGCAAAGGAUACUGUUGGUCUUGAGACCGGGAGAGGUCGGAGGUACUCUUGGGGUAGCGGUGAAAUGCUGUAAUCCUGGGGGGACCACCAGUGGCGAAGGCGUCCGACCAGAACGGAUCUGACGGUGAGGGGCGAAGGCUAGGGGAGCGAACGGGAUUAGAUACCCCGGUAGUCCUAGCUGUAAAGCAUGCGGGCCAGGUGUCUAGCGCUCCUUGAGGGCGCUAUGUGCCGGAGGGAAGCCGUUAAGCCCGCCGCCUGGGAAGUACGGCCGCAAGGCUGAAACUUAAAGAAAUUGGCGGGGGAGCACCACAAGGGGUGGAACCUGCGGUUCA